GGCUCCGUAGUGUAGUGGUUAUCACGCCUGCUUUACAUGCAGAAGGUCCUGGGUUCAAGCCCCAGUGGAACCA
rfam:Mesocricetus auratus contig071418, whole genome shotgun sequence.